rnacentral:miRNA from 1 species
AGCAGCAUCACCUGAGAGCUCAUUUAAAAUGCAGAUUCCUGGGAUCCCUUCUAGACUUUCUAAUUAGAAUCUGCAUUUUAAUGAGAUCCCAGGUGAUUCUCAG